GCUACACAUGCAAGUCGAGCGGAACGACACUAACAAUCCUUCGGGUGCGUUAAAGGGCGUCGAGCGGCGGACGGGUGAGUAAUGCUYAGGAAAUUGCCUUGAUGUGGGGGAUAACCAUUGGAAACGAUGGCUAAUACCGCAUGAUGCCUACGGGCCAAAGAGGGGGACCUUCGGGCCUCUCGCGUCAAGAUAUGCCUAGGUGGGAUUAGCUAGUUGGUGAGGUAAUGGCUCACCAAGGCGACGAUCCCUAGCUGGUCUGAGAGGAUGAUCAGCCACACUGGAACUGAGACACGGUCCAGACUCCUACGGGAGGCAGCAGUGGGGAAUAUUGCACAAUGGGCGAAAGCCUGAUGCAGCCAUGCCGCGUGUAUGAAGAAGGCCUUCUGGUUGUAAAGUACUUUCAGUUGUGAGGAAGGGUGUGUAGUUAAUAGUUGUGCAUCUUGACGUUACCGACAAAACAAGGACCGGAUAACCCCGAGCCAGCUGCUGUG
rnacentral:rRNA from 1 species